UUAUGGCUCAGAACGAACGCUGGCGGCGUGCUUAACACAUGCAAGUCGAACGCGAAAGGGGACUUCGGUCCUGAGUAAAGUGGCGCACGGGUGAGUAACGCGUAGAUAACCUGUCUUCAUGUCUGGAAUAAUACGCCGAAAGGGGUACUAAUACCGGAUAUUCUUGCUUUUCAUAAGUUAUGCAAGCAAAGGUGGCCUCUGCAUAUGCUACUGCAUGAAGAGGGGUCUGCGUACCAUUAGCUAGUAGGUGGGGUAAUGGCCUACCUAGGCGACGAUGGUUAGCGGGUCUGAGAGGAUGAUCCGCCACACUGGCACUGGAACACGGGCCAGACUCCUACGGGAGGCAGCAGUGAGGAAUAUUGCGCAAUGGGGGAAACCCUGACGCAGCGACGCCGCGUGAAGUGAGGAAGGCCUUCGGGUCGUAAAGCUCUGUCAAGAGGAAAGAAGUGUACAAUGGCUAAUACCUGUUGUAUUUGACGGUACCUCUAAAGGAAGCACCGGCUAACUCCGUGCCAGCCGCCGC
rnacentral:rRNA from 1 species